UGCAUGCAAACAGAGGAUGAUAAGUGGAGUAUAAAAUCAAGAUCUGCUUCUCCACGAACUAGUACUGGAAGUUUGUCCCCUGGUGAUGAGUUUAAUAGUGAGAACAAACGCGCUGCGCUUAUAUGUGACGUCUUUGUUAAAGGGUGGUGUAUUAAAGGAAGUUCAUGUAACUUUAU